CCUACGGGGGGCAGCAGUGAGGAAUAUUGGUCAAUGGCCGGAAGGCUGAACCAGCCAUGCCGCGUGAAGGUCAGUGCCCUAUGGGCGUUAAACUUCUUUUGUGCGGGAGCAAUAAUGGUCACGUGUGGCCAGACGAGAGUACCGUACGAAUAAGCAUCGGGUAACUUCGUGCCAGCCGCCGCGGGAAUAAGGGGGAAGCAAGCGUUAUCCGGAUUUGUUGGGUUUAAAGGGUGCGUAGGCUGGGAGGUAAGUCAGCGGUGAAAUGCCCCCGGUUCACGGGGUGAAGUGCCAUUGAUACUGCCUUGCUGGAGUGCGGAUGCGGUAGGAGGAAUGUGUGGUGUAGCGGUGAAAUGCAUAGAUAUCACACAGAACACCGAUUGCGAAGGCAUCUCACGAAUCCGCGAUUGACGCUGAUGCACGAAAGCGUGGGUAUCAAACAGGAUUAGAUACCCCAGUAGUC
rnacentral:rRNA from 1 species